rnacentral:rRNA from 1 species
CGCCGAUGUGUAGUGCGAUGUGGGGACGGAGAAGGUUAACUCAGCCGGGUGUUGGAUGUCCCGGUUCAAGCUUGUAGUCGUGGUCCUUAGGAAAAUCCGGGGAUCUUAGAUGAGGAGUGAUAACGAGGAGGCUUGCCUCCGAAGUGAGUGAUACCCUGCUUCCAGGAAAAGCCACUAAGCUUCAGCUGCACACGACCGUACCGCAAACCGACACUGGUGCGCGAGAUGAGUAUUCUAAGGCGCUUGAGAGAACUCUGGAGAAGGAACUCGGCAAAUUGACACCGUAACUUCGGAAGAAGGUGUGCCUUUAGUAGGUGAAGUCGUACAGACGGAGCCCAAUGAGGCCGCAGAGAAUCGGUGGCUGCGACUGUUUAUUAAAAACACAGCACUCUGCAAAGACGAAAGUCGACGUAUAGGGUGUGACGCCUGCCCGGUGCUGGAAGAUUAAAUGAUGGGGUGCAAGCUCUUGAUUGAAGUCCCAGUAAACGGCGGCCGUAACUAUAACGGUCCUAAGGUAGCGAAAUUCCUUGUCGGGUAAGUUCCGACCUGCACGAAUGGCGUAACGAUGGCCACGCUGUCUCCUCCAGAGACUCAGCGAAGUUGAAAUGUUUGUGAUGAUGCAAUCUCCCCGCGGAAAGACGGAAAGACCCCAUGAACCUUUACUGUAGCUUCACAUUGGACUUUGAACAGAUCUGUGUAGGAUAGGUGGGAGGCUUUGAAGCGGUGCCGCUAGGUGUCGUGGAGCCAACCUUGAAAUACCACCCUGGUGUGUUUGGGGUUCUAACCUUGACCCGUUAUCCGGGUUGGGGACAGUGUGUGGUGGGCAGUUUGACUGGGGCGGUCUCCUCCCAAAGUGUAACGGAGGAGUUCGAAGGUACGCUAGGCACGGUCGGAAAUCGUGCUGAUAGUGCAUUGGCAUAAGCGUGCUUGACUGCGAGACGGACAUGUCGAGCAGGUACGAAAGUAGGACAAAGUGAUCCGGUGGUUCUGUAUGGAAGGGCCAUCGCUCAACGGAUAAAAGGUACUCUGGGGAUAACAGGCUGAUACCGCCCAAGAGUUCAUAUCGACGGCGGUGUUUGGCACCUCGAUGUCGGCUCAUCUCAUCCUGGGGCUGUAGCCGGUCCCAAGGGUAUGGCUGUUCGCCAUUUAAAGAGGUACGUGAGCUGGGUUUAAAACGUCGUGAGACAGUUUGGUCCCUAUCUUCCGUGGGCGCUGCAAGAUUGAGAGAGCCUGCUCCUAGUACGAGAGGACCGGAGUGGACGCACCUCUGGUGCAUCGGUUGUCACGCCAGUGGCAUAGCCGAGUAGCUAAGUGCGGAAGAGAUAACCGCUGAAAGCAUCUAAGCGGGAAACUCGUCUCAAGAUGAGUCUUGCCGGGGCCUUGAGCCCCCUGAAGAGUCGUUCGAGACCAGGACGUUGAUAGGCCGGGUGUGGAAGCGCGGUAACGCGUUAAGCUGACCGGUACUAAUUGCUCGUGAGGCUUGACCUU